rnacentral:lncRNA from 1 species
CUGGUUAACAACUUUGAUUGUUUCAGAGAAUUAUUCGUUAUUGAAUAUUAAUAACACAAUACAACAUAUAUUUAUAGCACAAUACAAUAUAUAUUUAUAGCUCCCGUUUGGGUUCUAUGCGGUCGCAUAGUACUAUCAACUAUGGUAGAAUUGCGUUUUGGUCCUCUCACUUGCAUCCUUCACUCUUUAAAAUCUUCUCUUCAUUCUUUUCAUUUUAACACCCCACGAUAUCGUCAAUUGGUAAUUGGCCUGAUCGAUUUCUCGAUUUGUUUAUCAGAUCAACUUUUGGAUAUUUGCACUUUUGGUCCCUGAAAUUUCACUUUGUGUCACUUUAGUCCUUCUUCGCGUCUUUUCUCCUGAAUUUCACUAUGUUCAUCUUCACUAUGUUCAUCGUUGUUUCCUAUAAUUCACAAUUAUAUAAGAUUAAGUAACAAUUCAAUCAUUUUGCUCGUGUUUAAGUUAUGUUUAUGACCUAAAUAAAUAAGUGUGCAAAAACACAUUUAUCAGCUACCAACACCACCACUACAACCAUCGCCAAGAUCUAAAAAUACAACCAACAAAACCCCAAAAAUCAUUAAUUGCGGAUGGUAAAAGAGAGAGAGAUAACAUCCAAAAACCCCAAAUCCCCUCCCCACGCUCGCACCAGUCACCGUUCGAACUUGCAAAUGACACAUACUUUUGCCAUCGUUCGCACCAGUUGUCAUUCUUAAAAAAAAAUCAUUAUUUUAAAAUCUAUUUCUUGAAAAGGAGCUCAAAUAGUGCCAGAAUUUGAUGCCAACAUAAUCGAAUUAUUUUUUCGAAAAAUUCUUAUACAAAAAAUAGAAAGAGAAAUCUUAUUUUUUACCUGAAAAUUCACAAAAACGCUGAAUGAGAGAAACCUACCAAGAAAUUUUCACUCUAAUCUCUAUGGGUGUGUAGAAAUGGCUGAAACUAGAGGAAAAAAGAAGAGAUUAUUGACAAAUCUUUCAUUUGUUACCCUCACUAAUCAUACAGAACCAAACGGGACCAACAAAUCUGUCAAGAUAUUUGAGGGAGAUAUGAAGAGGGAGACAGUGGAGAUAGAAAGACAUAGAGAGACGAGGAAUAAAGUUGAAGAUGAUAGAAAAAAAU